AGUGAACGCUGGCGGUAGGCCUAACACAUGCAAGUCGAACGGCAGCACAGUAAGAGCUUGCUCUUACGGGUGGCGAGUGGCGGACGGGUGAGGAAUACAUCGGAAUCUACUUUUUCGUGGGGGAUAACGUAGGGAAACUUACGCUAAUACCGCAUACGACCUACGGGUGAAAGCAGGGGAUCUUCGGACCUUGCGCGAUUGAAUGAGCCGAUGUCGGAUUAGCUAGUUGGCCGGGUAAAGGCCCACCAAGGCGACGAUCCGUAGCUGGUCUGAGAGGAUGAUCAGCCACACUGGAACUGAGACACGGUCCAGACUCCUACGGGAGGCAGCAGUGGGGAAUAUUGGACAAUGGGCGCAAGCCUGAUCCAGCCAUACCGCGUGGGUGAAGAAGGCCUUCGGGCUGUAAAGCCCUUUUGUUGGGAAAGAAAAGCAGCAGGUUAAUACCCCGCUGUUCUGACGGUACCCAAAGAAUAAGCACCGGCUAACUUCGUG
rnacentral:rRNA from 1 species